AUUCUUGGGGGAGAUGGCCUUUUCUCCUUCUUUACUCACAGGUCUGUCUUUAAUUCACACAGCUGAAAACUCCCAACAUGAAUGACUGAAGCAUAUGUCAGAGAGCAGGUCUGUCUUUAAUUCACACAGCUGUAAACUCCCAACAUGAAUGACUGAACCAUAUGUCAGAGAGACAGGCUGCGAGCGGGUCUUGUGCUCCUACGGGGACUGCGCGUGGUGCCGGCUUCGGUUCCCUGCUGGGGCCUCGUGUCUGCUCAGGAGCCAGGGGACUCGGCUCAGCUCCUGACAUUGUCCCUAAGUUGUGUGUGGCCGUCAGAAAAAGACUUCGCCUCCUGGAACCUCAGCUUCCUCGUCUGCUGCUCAGGGAUGAUGGCACAAUGCUGAUGGAGAUCUAGAUUUGACGAGGACUGAAUCAGCUGACAGAUGCAAAGAAAGAGAUGGGUCCUUGGCACAGUGAUUCUGCAAUCAGUUC
ensembl:lncRNA